UUAUUAAUUCGCUUGUGCAAAAUGCAGCUUUCAGGGACAUUGUCUCACAGGUAUAACUGCCAAGAUAUUGCCUCAGAAUUGAAAUACAAAAUCUUACUGACAUGAAAUUUGCAUGAGGCUCCUUACUUAAUAAAAGCUUUACAGGCCAUGGAAAAGGCUGGGUGAAUUUGAACUGCAAAAAAUAUUCUUGUAAAGAGAGGUUUAAAUAAGCAUGAAAACAGUAAGUUGGAACUGGUGGAAUAUUUUUGUUUAAAAUUUUCUUUGGCAUACAAAAUCUUUUAACAAACUUUAAUUCUUUUUUUUUUCUGGAGCUCUGAGGUUUUCUAUUUUUUCCUCUUUUAUAAAUGCCUUUUCUUUAAACAUAGAAAGGCAUUCAUAUCAGGUUUGUUGUUAAGGAAGAAAUUUCCUUUUUUCCAACAAUUUCAUUGUGUCCAGCAGGUAGUGAUGAUGAUGAUGAUGACAACACAGCAAGGAUGGCUGAGCUGUCAAGUGAAAGUGGGAACCAGCAGAUCUCCAGGGAAGUCUUUUCAAAACUACGAGCACCAGUACCUUUUGUAAAGAACAGUGGAGGAGGUGUGAAGAGAUGAAGAAUCUAGGAGGGCUCAUCACUGGCUGAAUGUUAUUUUAAGGGAGCACAAGAAAAUGGAGAACCGUGGUUACACAAAGACAGGUUCAGGGGAUGACAAUUCCAUUAACGGUGUAGAGAACAGAACUGAAUGAAUGAAUCACACUCAUAAAGGAUCAGAGACUGAGGGUGAGGACUCAGCCAGCAUCUGAAAUGAGAGGUCUACAUCAAGCAAAUGGAAAUACCUCAGCUGCAAGUACUUUAUAGCCAUCCUCCAUUCUUUUAUUAUUUUCUUUGUUACUUUAUUGCACUGGGAAUUGUUCCUUGCUGUGAAAACCACAGCAUCUUUCCUUAAAGAAAUACAACUGGUUUUGUGAUGUGGGUUUUUAAAUUUCAUAGCAUAUUAUAAGACUAUAAUUUAUUUUUAAUUUACAAAAUAGAACAAGAUUUUCAACCUGGGACACAGAAUCUCCUGUAGUGGAAUCUGGAUAUUUCUUAGAGUCAAUAAAUCAAAAACAUUUCAAAUCUCUGAUGCUAAA
rnacentral:lncRNA from 1 species